UCUCUCUCUCUCUCUCUCUCUCUCUCUCUCUCUCUCUCUCUCUCAGCCCACUCUCACUCCUGGUCUGUGUUCUCCACCACUGGAGUGAGGGAAGAAUGUGCUCAGGCCUCCAUUGUUUGCCAGGCCCUGCUGCACUGCAUGCUGCUGCCGUGCUGAGGGGGCUCCCCGCUAAUGGAAUGUGUAAAUGAAAGACGUUCAGACCACUCCGAGGUGUCCUUCACAUUUCCAUCCUGGUUAACGGGGAGAAAAUUCACCAAAUCCACCCUGGGGCCCCCUUGUCAUCUCUUUCCUUCCUGACAGUCUUACAGUCGUGGUAGGCGUGCUAGACAAAGACAGCAAGUCCUAUGCGGUGAUCCCAAGAACUAAUUCCCCAGUUCUCCCUCCUAUGUGAGAGAGAUUGCUCUUCUCCCUCACGGAUGAGGGAGGAAGAAAUGAGCGCAAAGGGGGCCGGGAUAAGUACCUGCUGUUAUCAGAAAAUGUUUUUCAUAGCCUCUCUUGCUUUUUUUUUUUUUUUUUUGACCCAUAGCCAAAGCCACUGGUGAUCAGAGCACACUGAGAUUUUUUUAUCAUGUGAGGUAACUGAAGAAUGGAACACCUUAAGUGUCUGACUUCAGGACCGACCGUGUCUAUUAUGUGGUUCAAUGGCGGCUCCCCCUCCGCCCUCCAUUGCUGUGGAUAGUCUGAUGAUGUUAACGUUUCCUGCCUGUGCACUCUGGACAGCAAGUGCCAUCAGAGCCAUCCCCCAGUGUGAAGACAGUCAUUAAUUAGUAAAUGGCUAAGAGCAGAUGUCAAUGGUGCUUCAGGCUGUAGCUCAACCACCCACUAAUAAAGGCUUUGAACUUGGAUAUGAGGAAAGCUCUCUGGAGCAACCUCACCAAGAGUGUUUUCCAGUGGUCAAGGACAAAUAACGCAAUUCAGUGAGCUACUAAGCAAAAAAAAAAAAAAAAAAAAAAACAAAAACAAAAAACAAACAAACAAAAAAAACAGCACAUAAGCCCAAGUUCUUGAAUGAGAUCCCAUUCUAAGCAGGCCUCUCUGCACAACAACACUGGCAGUUCAGAAACAAUUUGGAAGUAAGACAGUAAGAACCUGUAGCAAGCCAAUCCAAGAAAGCUGUAAAGUCUCUCUGUUCUUGUCAGGGGAGCCGCGUAUUUACAUGGCCGCACGUGUCAGUUGGCCACCAUAAAGGAGGGGAAUAGGAACAGAGGAGGGGUCUUGAACACUGACUGAGUGUUUGGUAAAAAAUGCACGGCCACGAAGCUGUAGGCUGGGGCUCAAAGCUCCAACGUGCGUGCCGCCUCCAACGGAUGCCAAUGAAUGCUUGCUCCAAGGCUAAGCUGAUGUCACUGGGAAAGAACAAUGUGCUUGAUUUAUGAUGUUUAACAUUCACACAGGAAGUGGAGUUGGUGACACUACGCGUUUCCCAAUGCCAGUGCUGCAGGAAGAUAAAACACUGGAGGAAAUAGAAAGACGUCGAGGAAGAUGUCAAGUCCCAAGGUCAGGAAGUAGCGGGCCACUUCGGCUGCCCCUCCCCUCCUCUGCAUGGAUGCCUUGGCAUAAAUACAGUGGGGUCGGGAUUCUGAGUGUGCACACAGAGUCACCGGAGGGCCACUCGCUGCCAAGUACGUGUGUAUCUGCUUUAUUUACUUAUACUCCUGUGUUAUGUUUCUUUGCUAGCCUGUGGGGUGAGUGAGGACAUGGACCAGUCUAGACCAGAAAGUAGAAUUACAUAUAUAAUUAAUCAGAUAAUUUGUACCUAGUCUUUUAGGUCAAAAAAUACAUUAGAAAGGUGCUGGAUAUGCAGCCAGUUGCUAGAGUAGUUACCUGCUACAUCCAAAGGAAACUCCGGUUCCCCAAAUUCCAAAAGGCAGAAGGGACAAAUGGCUAUUUGAGGUGUUCAUUACACAGUAAAGUGUACACACUGUAUGCUGCCCCCCGCCCCAGGCUCCCUCAGUAUCACACACACCACACUCAUUUCAAAGUCCAUCUUGGCUCUUCUCACCUCCUUGACCCCCCAGCUAAUCACCCCUCUCCUUGCCCCCCCCCCGUUCUCCUCCCCCCUCUCUCCCCUUGCUCUCCCUCUCUGUUCUCCCCUCCACACUUCCCUCCUCCCCGUUCUAGUCAUGCUUCCACCCCAGCCAGGUCCAGGCUGCCGGCUAUGUUCCGUUUCCUUUCUCUGCUCUAUACACCUCGGAUGCCUCUGGCUGAUCUCUCUCGUAUCUACAAUAAAACCCUUCCCUUUAGCCACACCAUUGAGCAGUUAUAUUGUUAGUUUGUACAUUGCCUAGCACACAUAAAGCCCUGGGCUCAAUUUCCCAGCAGUUCAUAAACCCAAAAUGGUGGUGCAUGCCUGUAAUCUUAACAAUUGGAAGACGGAGCUAGGGUGAUGAGGAGUUCAAGGCUAGCCCAGCUACGUAACAACUCUGAGUCAGCAUGGACUCUACACAGAGGCCGCAUCUCAAAAUAGUUUUACACACACACCUACACACACACACACACAUACACACACACACAUACACACACACACACACACAGAAACACACACACACACGAAAGAGAGAGGGGGGCUACAUGUGAUAUAUUGUAGUUAGAAAAAGAUCUGAGAAAAUAACAGACUGAAAUAAAUUGCUCACACAACUGAGAAUGUAUGGAGUCAUGUCAUCAGGGAUUUGACUCUUGGCUUCUAUUAGGUUAAACAGGUAAACCUAGGAACAAAACCUUCCUUGAGAUGUUGAGGUAAAUUCUGAAGGCUGGUGAGGAAUUGUUCAGGGAACAUGGAAGUGAAGAACAGAGGGGGCGAAGGAACACCACAGGUGAACACAGCGAUCCAGAAACACCGAGGAGAGUUAGUUACCACUGCCGUGAUGGCUAACCCUCAGCCAUGAAGACAGGAAGGUGGAGGCACGCUGUAAGGGACAGGUGAGAAUGUCCCUGGAGGACCGCUGCAGACCCAAUCCAGACAACAUGGUCCCAGGGCACCCUUCCCAGGAAUGACCACAUGCCCCCUUUUACCCUUUCAUCCAGCCUCCAAGAUUCAACAGUGAUUCUGGUUUUUGCUCAUGUUGUUUUUGCUCAAUGAUUUCAGUGGUAUCGAGGAAAGAACUCUACAAGAGUACAUUCAUCGCCACUUCGUUAUUUUAUUUACUUUGCGUGUACGUGCGUUGUAUGUAGCCUUUGUGUGUGUGUGUGGGGGGGGCGCACCAGGUGUCUUCUGCUGUCACUUCCCACCUUCUAUUUUGAGACUGGGUCUCUUACAGAACCCAAUAAUUACAGAUUGGCUAGCCCGCCUGUCCAGCCAGCUCUGCGCAUGCUCUGUGGCUGCUUCUCCAGCACUGCAGUGAGAGGCUUGUGCUGCGGUGCUGGGUUUUAUUCGUGGGUGCUGGAGAUCUGAACUCAGGCCCUCGUGCUUUUGGACGGGCAUUUCACUGACUGAGCUGAGACCUCUCCACAUCCCAAUUCAUUAAUGUCUUUACUGGAGAGAUAGCUCUGCAGUUGAAACCGCUUGCUGCCCUCGCGGAGGACCUGACGUCCAUUUCUAGCAUGCGCAUUGGGCAGCUCCAGGGUACCGCACGCCCUCUUCUGGCCUCUGUGGCCAAUCGCCCUCAUGUUGAUGUGACUCAUCCUCUCCGGAGCCCGAUUCCAUCUCUGUGUUUCUGUGAUGAAAGUCUAUCCAGGCGGGCGGUGGUGGUGCACGACUUUAAUCCCAGCUCUUGGGAGGCAGUGGCAGGCAGAUUUCUGAGUCCAAGGCCAGCCAGGACUACACAGAGAAACCCUGCCUCAAAUAAAUAAAUAAAUAGAAACCGGAAAGUCUAUCUUUGGCCAAUUUUAAGGGGGAAAUGAACUGUUUGCAUCCUUAUUGAUACAUCUGAUAUUUUCAUGUUUUACGUUUCGGAAACCCCGGUGGAAGUUUGAAGCAUACACACCUUAAUUAAUUAAUUAAUUAAUUAAUUAAAAGUCCUAGCAGCGGGCGGGAGAAAGUAUCCAAAGGAGAGUGUUGCCAUGGUUUGCUAGAGUUUUCCACAACCCACAGGAGGGAAACAGGGUUUAAGCCAGCCCUCGAAGGGUUGGCUCAUCCUGGUGCAGAGCCCCCCCCCCCCCCCGGGAAACCACAGCAGUGCAACUUAGCUGACAGAGAUGGACGUCCUUGGAUAGCAACGUGUACCUGAACAUCUCAGACUUUCUAGUUCUCUGGAGGAUUCUUAGUGUGCUAACUUCUGAGGUGGAUAAAGUGAAGCUCAGAGUGUCCUCUUGUGCUUUUAGCUGGUGUUCUGGUUUGCAUGCCAAUGAGGGGCGGAUGAGUUAUUUUACCUGAAGGCUGCUUUAAGAACAGCCAGGGCAGUGCAAGCAAGGGGAAUACAAUGACAAGGACAGAGAGGAAGAUGGCGACCAUGGUGGUCACAUGGCCAAGACACUAAACCAGCUGUGAGUCCCACUUCAAGAGGUGGAGGAGACUAGAGGCCUCCCCUCUGUCAUACAGCAGCCAUGGGACCCCUGGUCAGUACCAGUUAUUCCUCGGAAUUACUGGACAGCUUGAAAUGAGAUCAGCCGAUGUGAGUCUACCUUGCUUUGUGAGUGACGCCUGGUAAAUGCCCAAUAACUGUGGGCAAAGCCUCAGAAGAGGAAGCUGGAGAUGGCUGUUGCUUUGUUCGCUCCUCAGACUUCCAUUGGGGUUUCUGAAAUCCAACCCUAAGUGAAGAUUGUGUCAAUGAGAAUACAACCCUGCCCCUGAGAAUAGGCCAAAGACUGGAAUAGACUCUCACCAAAGAGAUGUCCAGGCUACAAAGCAAGCACACAAAACAAUGAAGAUGGCUUACUGUCAGCUCUUAAAGGAUCCUUCUCUACCCACCACUCCCAAAAGGUGCCUAAGGUUUUCCUUCAUUUUUUUUUAAACCUAUAGUCCAUCACCUUGGCUUCCAGGAACUUGGAAGCGCCUUGCAGGAUACAACACCCCUCAAGUGAGUGUGAUUAUCUCUUCAGGGAAGCAAGGUUCCACUCAGAAG